UAGGGAAUCUUCCACAAUGGACGCAAGUCUGAUGGAGCAACGCCGCGUGUGUGAAGAAGGUUUUCGGAUCGUAAAGCUCUGUUGUUGGUGAAGAAGGAUAGAGGCAGUAACUGGUCUUUAUUUGACGGUAAUCAACCAGAAAGUCACGGCUAACUACGUGCCAGCAGCCGCGGUAAUACGUAGGUGGCAAGCGUUGUCCGGAUUUAUUGGGCGUAAAGCGAGCGCAGGCGGAAUGAUAAGUCUGAUGUGAAAGCCCACGGCUCAACCGGGGAACUGCAUCGGAAACUGUCAUUCUUGAGUGCAGAAGAGGAGAGUGGAAUUCCAUGUGUAGCGGUGGAAUGCGUAGAUAUAUGGAAGAACACCAGUGGCGAAGGCGGCUCUCUGGUCUGCAACUGACGCUGAGGCUCGAAAGCAUGGGUAGCGAACAGG
rnacentral:rRNA from 1 species